GAUGAACGCUGGCGGCGUGCCUAAUACAUGCAAGUCGAGCGAACGGACGAGAAGCUUGCUUCUCUGACGUUAGCGGCGGACGGGUGAGUAACACGUGGAUAACCUACCUAUAAGACUGGGAUAACUUCGGGAAACCGGAGCUAAUACCGGAUAAUAUAUUGAACCGCAUGGUUCAAUAGUGAAAGACGGUCUUGCUGUCACUUAUAGAUGGAUCCGCGCUGCAUUAGCUAGUUGGUAAGGUAACGGCUUACCAAGGCAACGAUGCAUAGCCGACCUGAGAGGGUGAUCGGCCACACUGGAACUGAGACACGGUCCAGACUCCUACGGGAGGCAGCAGUAGGGAAUCUUCCGCAAUGGGCGAAAGCCUGACGGAGCAACGCCGCGUGAGUGAUGAAGGUCUUCGGAUCGUAAAACUCUGUUAUUAGGGAAGAACAUAUGUGUAAGUAACUGUGCACAUCUUGACGGUACCUAAUCAGAAAGCCACGGCUAACUACGUG
rnacentral:rRNA from 1 species